rnacentral:rRNA from 1 species
UGGGGAAUAUUGCACAAUGGGGGAAACCCUGAUGCAGCGACGCCGCGUGAACGAAGAAGGUAUUCGUAUCGUAAAGUUCUGUCCUAUGGGAAGAUAAUGACAGUACCAUAGAAGAAAGCUCCGGCUAAAUACGUGCCAGCAGCCGCGGUAAUACGUAUGGAGCGAGCGUUGUCCGGAAUUAUUGGGCGUAAAGGGUACGCAGGCGGUUUAAUAAGUCGAAUGUUAAAGAUCGGGGCUCAACCCCGCAAAGCAUUGGAAACUGAUAAUCUUGAGUAGUGGAGAGGAAAGUGGAAUUCCUAGUGUAGUGGUGAAAUAUGUAGAUAUUAGGAGGAAUACCAGUAGCGAAGGCGACUUUCUGGACACAAACUGACGCUGAGGUACGAAAGCGUGGGGAGCAAACAGG